CUGCAAGCUUGUCUCUUCUUCGGGUUUGAAUUUUUAGAGUUAUCGCUAUCUUUUUCCCUCUUUCUCUUAUUCUUUCCCUUCUUGCUGGUUCCUUUAGACUAUCCACCACCUUCAGUCUUCAUCCUCUACACCUACGCCUUUAGCUCGUUCCGUUCUUCAGUCAUCUCGCGUAAUGCUCAACCCGUCUUCCACAACUCCUCUAAGAGAAAUACCUUACUCCGGAGUUCGUGGACUUCUGCAGAUACUUGAUCUUGUUCUCCUACUUUGGUCUUACUUUCUUUCUCUACCUUGGUUUCUUCAGACUCCGCCUCCUCAUCACCACUUAGAUACAUCUCGGGAUAAUCGUCAUGAUCACUCCCCAGAUUUACCAUAGGUUCAUCCUUCCCCACUUCUUCCACUGACUCUCUUUGUGAUGGCACCUCAGCUACAGGCACUGGUGCAACAGCCGCUGACAUCUCCAUACUCAUCUUAUCUUCUCCCGACAUCCUACAAUCAGUUUAAACAACUUGGUUAGUACUUCAAUAGUACAAAUUUCUCACACUACGCGUCCACAUAUCUCACUAUCGAUACGCUUCGGCAAUCCCUCACUUAGUACUCGAUAUGAGUAUUCUCUAUCUAGCUUAUGGUUAUAAUCCUAGGGUUUUCC
rnacentral:lncRNA from 1 species